rnacentral:rRNA from 1 species
UACGUAGGGGGCAAGCGUUAUCCGGAUUUACUGGGUGUAAAGGGCGCGUAGACGGUGAUGUAAGUCAGAUGUGAAAGCCCGGGGCUCAACUCCGGGACUGCAUUUGAAACUAUGUUGCUAGAGUGCAGGAGAGGUAAGUGGAAUUCCUAGUGUAGCGGUGAAAUGCGUAGAUAUUAGGAGGAACACCAGUGGCGAAGGCGGCUUACUGGACUGUAACUGACGUUGAGGCUCGAAAGCGUGGGGAGCAAACAGG